UACGGAGGGGGCUAGCGUUGUUCGGAAUUACUGGGCGUAAAGCGUACGUAGGCGGCUUUGUAAGUUAGAGGUGAAAGCCCAGAGCUCAACUCUGGAAUUGCCUUUAAGACUGCAUCGCUUGAAUCGUGGAGAGGUUAGUGGAAUUCCGAGUGUAGAGGUGAAAUUCGUAGAUAUUCGGAAGAACACCAGUGGCGAAGGCGACUAACUGGACACGUAUUGACGCUGAGGUACGAAAGCGUGGGUAGCAAACAGG
rnacentral:rRNA from 1 species